CCCCAUAUGCCCCGCCGCCUCGCUCCAGAUCCUCUCACCGCAAAAAAAUCGCCGCUGCCUAUGCUCGCCGCCCUGCCCCCACGCGUCACCUAGGCGGCCUAGAUCUCGACCCGCCGCCACUCACCCUCGAGUAGAAGCACCAUGCGCGGCCAUCCGCCUCGGCCGCUUCCAUAUGCCGCAACCCAACGUCGCCCAACUGGAGCGCCGCCGCGCCAGCUCGCCAUAGCACCAAGCGCAUCCCCUACCGCAAAUGUCUUGGCUAGCCGCCGCCCCAGCCAGUCGCGUAUGGGCAGGUGCGGGCCGACGGCCUCCUCCCGGAGACCCGGACUCGAUCUUCCCCACAUCCUCUCUGGUCCCCAUAUCCAGGAGAGACAGCGGGGGCACGGCCCAAGAUCGGCGACAGGGCACGAGCGGACAUUGGAGAGACGAGAUCGACAGGUUACCAGCAGAAGCUGCCCACUCCAGGAAGAAACGAACUGCAAGAAGUGCACUUGGUGGUGUUGCGUUGGACUAGCUGGUGUUCCGUUGGAAGGAAGACGAAUCUGAGCUGGAGGAUGAGGUUGGAGGCAUCCUACGUGUAGUUCCUUCUGUUGGGUACGCAGUAAUUUCAAAAAAAAGAUCUUACGCACAUGCAA